UGUGCUCGGGACAGCGCGUGCACGCAUCGCGCGUAUCUACCUAGCUAACGCGUGAAAUUUCCAAGGAAGGAAGCCAGCACGCGUUUCCUCGUCGCGAGCCCUCACGAAACGCGCGAACCCGUGUCGCGUCGAUCGAUUACCUUUUAGCUUGACACGCGAGUUACGCGCAAGCGCGGCCGCCCGGCCAGCGAGCUCCCCAGCGGGAAACGCGACAACUUCCGACCGGAAGUUUCUUAUGAUUUCUUCACUCGCACGUUUUAACCACGUACACGUUGCAAGCAUAAUUUGUACCUUUGAAAUUCCUGCAGGGAAUGGGGAAGUUGUGAGCAGCAGAUGAAACGAAAUUAUUCGAAAUUAUGAUCAAUGGGAACACGGUUCUGCUCUGCGAUUAAUGCGUACUGAAAUGUAAACGAGCUGAGCUUUAAUUCAUUUCUACCACGCGUAUGCAGUUUCUGAUAUACACGGAAAGACGAAAUAUUGUAUAACUGACCACCUAAGUACUUUGGUCACACCUUGUACAGGCACAGGGUGUGAAAACGAAGGUUUAACGAAGUAACGAAACUACAAAACACAAAAAGAAUGAUAAUAAUAAGCUGCUCUCGCUAUAAUAGAAAGGAGGAAUAAAUCAACGAUAUUUAUCUACACUGUUCACGCGAGCUGCGUUUACUAUCCGAGGUCAUUAGAGGAACAAUCGAGCCCUGCUUCGAAGGUGUAUCAGCACUGAUUCUCUGAGGCCAUCUAUCCAUUAACCACUAUCAUUACGC